rnacentral:rRNA from 1 species
GACCAUAGCGUGUAGGAACCACCCGAUCCCUUGCCGAACUCGGAAGUGAAGAUACACAGCGCCGAUGGUAGUAUGGGGUUUCCCCAUGUGAGAGUAGGACAUUGCCAGG